rnacentral:rRNA from 1 species
AUUGAACGCUGGCGGCAUGCCUAACACAUGCAAGUCGAACGGAGAUAGGGGCAACCUUAUUUCAGUGGCGGACGGGAGAGUAACACGUGGGAACGUACCCUUCAGUUCGGAACAACCCAGGGAAACUUGGGCUAAUACCGGAUACGUCCGUAAGGAGAAAGAUUUAUCGCUGAAGGAUCGGCCCGCGUCUGAUUAGCUUGUUGGUGAGGUAACGGCUCGCCAAGGCUACGAUCAGUAGCUGGUCUGAGAGGAUGAUCAGCCUCACUGGGACUGAGACACGGCCCAGACUCCUACGGGAGGCAGCAGUGGGGAAUAUUGGACAAUGGGUGAAAGCCUGAUCCAGCAAUGCCGCGUGAGUGAAGAAGGCCUUAGGGUUGUAAAGCUCUUUCGUCCACGACGAUAAUGACGGUAGUGGAAGAAGAAGCCCCGGCUAACUCCGUGCCAGCAGCCGCGGUAAUGUGU